GCCGGGCGUGGUGGCGGGCGCCUGUAGUCCCAGCUACUUGGGAGGCUGAGGCAGGAGAAUCGCCUGAACCUGGGAGGCAGAGGUUGCAGUGAGCCGAGAUCAUGCCACUGCACUCCAGCCUGGGUGACAGAGCGAGACUCUGUCUCAA
rnacentral:SRP_RNA from 1 species